rnacentral:rRNA from 1 species
GAUGAACGCUGGCGGCGUGCCUAAUACAUGCAAGUCGAGCGAACAGACGAGGAGCUUGCUCCUUUGACGUUAGCGGCGGACGGGUGAGUAACACGUGGGUAACCUACCUAUAAGACUGGGAUAACUUCGGGAAACCGGAGCUAAUACCGGAUAAUAUUUCGAACCGCAUGGUUCGAUAGUGAAAGAUGGCUUUGCUAUCACUUAUAGAUGGACCUGCGCCGUAUUAGCUAGUUGGUAAGGUAACGGCUUACCAAGGCAACGAUACGUAGCCGACCUGAGAGGGUGAUCGGCCACACUGGAACUGAGACACGGUCCAGACUCCUACGGGAGGCAGCAGUAGGGAAUCUUCCGCAAAGGGCGAAAGCCUGACGGAGCAACGCCGCGUGAGUGAUGAAGGUCUACGGAUCGUAAAACUCUGUUAUUAGGGAAGAACAAACGUGUAAGUAACUGUGCACGUCUUGACGGUACCUAAUCAGAAAGCCACGGCUAACUACGUG